rfam:Arabidopsis thaliana chromosome 3, complete sequence.
AAGAAUGAGGAAGACGAUGACGAAUUAGAAGUUCCGGUAAUGUGAAAAACUCAAGUUAAGAAGACGAAUUAAAAAAGGCGUUUCGUAUUUUCUUUGAUGAUGAUGACAU